CCACUUGUCUGCUGUGUGACCUUGGGUAAGUCAUUUCAUCUCUCUGUUCCUCAGUUACCUCAUCUGUAAAAUGGGGAUUGAGGCUGUGAGCCCAAAUGGGACAGGCACUGUGUCCAACUUUGUUUGUAUCUACCCCAGCGCUUAGAACAGUGCCUGGCACAUAGUAAGUGCUUAACAAAUGCCAUGAUUAUUAUUAUUGAGCUUACACACUGGAGCGGCAGACAGACAUUAAAAUAAAUUACAGGUGGAAAUAGAACUGAGGUGAAUAUCAAACUGCUUAUGGGGUCCAGACCCACAAGUGCAUAGGCGAUAUAAAGGGGGGCAAAUAGGAGAAUGAGGCUUAGAGAAGACCUCUUGGGGGAGUUAGGAUUUUAGUAGGGCUUUGAAGAGGGGGAGAGUGGUGAUCAGUGGGAUAUGAAGGGGAAGGGAAUUCCAGGAAAGAAGGAAGACAUAAGCCAGGGGUCAGUGGCAACGUAGAAGACUGCAGGUUGGAUUGUAGUGAGACAUUAUCGAGGUUAGACAGGAAGGGGAGAAGCUGUUUUGAGAGCAAAACAAACAGAUCAGGCACCUCUGUGAAAAGAAUGUCUUUGCUUUGGAACUUGUCAAGUGUUCUGUCAGGUUAAUUACGGAGGCAGAAAGAUAUUUCUUUAAAAAGAGCAUCUAUUAAUACAGUUCGAAGGACACAACGGAGGAAUGGCAGUGAAAGGAUUUAGGGCUAACAGGUGGCUAGGAGCCACUGGGGCUGAGGCUCUCCCAGCCAGCGGGCCAUGUGUGGGAGUCCUCUGACUCCCUCCUCCAUCCUCGCUGCUUCCUGAUGUCGCCACGGAGGGCUCUCAGCUGCAAGAAUGGCUGCAAGGCAUGCCCUUGCCCAAACUGUCAGGAAGAUAACUCAGCUCUGUAACUGCCUCCCUCACCUCCCCCCCAAGUCAGUCUCCAACCUGCGCAAGAAAAGGAGAGCAUCAAGCUGCCCUACAACCAGACUGGUGCUUCCGAUAAACUUGUAGGAUUUUUCCACCUUGGGUGGCAGGCACGCUGUGAUGGGAUUGGCCAUGAUCAAGCUCUCAGGCAAAAUCAAGAAGCAAGUGAGAAAAACCCAAGUCUCAGGUAGGAAAAGAGCUUCCAAAAUAACUGGCGUUUGGAUUCUCUGCUCGUGGUGGAAGUUACUAAUUAGAUGGGAGACUGAGUUUUAUUAGUUGCUACAAUUGUUUGUUGUUGUUUCAUGUUGGACUAUAAAACUGUCAUGUUUAAACUCAGGGUUGAAGUGUGCUUUUCACCAGGAGGGCAAUUAUAAAAUAACCGGACUUGUGAU
rnacentral:lncRNA from 1 species